UACGUAGGGGGCGAGCGUUGUUCGGAUUUACUGGGCGUAAAGGGCGCGUAGGCGGCGCCGGAAGUCGAGUGUGAAAGCCCCGGGCUCAACCUGGGAAUUGCGCUCGAGACUCCGGUGCUUGAGUUCGGGAGAGGAGAGUGGAAUUCCCAGUGUAGAGGUGAAAUUCGUAGAUAUUGGGAAGAACACCAGUGGCGAAGGCGGCCCUCUGGACCGAGACUGACGCUGAGGCGCGAAAGCGUGGGGAGCAAACAGG
rnacentral:rRNA from 1 species